rnacentral:miRNA from 1 species
GUUUUACUAUAAAUAUGUUUUAGGCAAUAUUGGGGGCAUAUUUAUACUAAAA